rnacentral:rRNA from 1 species
AGUGAACGCUGGCGGUAGGCCUAACACAUGCAAGUCGAACGGCAGCACCGUAAGAGCUUGCUCUUACGGGUGGCGAGUGGCGGACGGGUGAGGAAUACAUCGGAAUCUACUUUUUCGUGGGGGAUAACGUAGGGAAACUUACGCUAAUACCGCAUACGACCUACGGGUGAAAGCAGGGGAUCUUCGGACCUUGCGCGAUUGAAUGAGCCGAUGUCGGAUUAGCUAGUUGGCGGGGUAAAGGCCCACCAAGGCGACGAUCCGUAGCUGGUCUGAGAGGAUGAUCAGCCACACUGGAACUGAGACACGGUCCAGACUCCUACGGGAGGCAGCAGUGGGGAAUAUUGGGCAAGGGGCGAGAGCCUGAUCCAGCCAUACCGCGUGGAUGAAGAAGGACUUCGGGUUGUAAAGCCCUGAUGUUGGGAAAGAAAAGCAGCAGGUUAAUACCCCACUGUACUGACGGUACCCAAAGAAUAAGCACCGGCUAACUUCGUG